GAUGAACGCUGGCGGCGUGCCUAAUACAUGCAAGUCGAGCGAACAGACGAGGAGCUUGCUCCUCUGACGUUAGCGGCGGACGGGUGAGUAACACGUGGAUAACCUACCUAUAAGACUGGGAUAACUUCGGGAAACCGGAGCUAAUACCGGAUAAUAUAUUGAACCGCAUGGUUCAAUAGUGAAAGACGGUUUUGCUGUCACUUAUAGAUGGAUCCGCGCCGCAUUAGCUAGUUGGUAAGGUAACGGCUUACCAAGGCAACGAUGCGUAGCCGACCUGAGAGGGUGAUCGGCCACACUGGAACUGAGACACGGUCCAGACUCCUACGGGAGGACGCAGUAGGGAAUCUUCCGCAAUGCGCGAAAGCCUGACGGAGCAACGCCGCGUGAGUGAUGAAGGUCUUCUGAUCGUAAAACUCUGUUAUUCGGGAAGAACAAAUGUGUAAGUACCUAUGCACGUCUUGACGGUACCUAAUCAGAAAGCCACGGCUAACUCCGUG
rnacentral:rRNA from 1 species